rnacentral:sRNA from 1 species
CCUCAGACACAGAGAGAGGGAGCUGCAAUAGUCGAGUCUGAAGGUGAGAAAUGCUUGGAUUGCUGGAGCCAGAACCUCCGUCAAGAGGAAGAAUCAAUGUUUCCUGCCUAGCUGGAGGU